ensembl:lncRNA
UUUGUGUUUGUGCUGCUUUGCAGCAUAUUUUGAUGCAAGCAAUUGCACUGUUUGAUCAUAUUGUUUAAAUAUACAGACUUUUCUUCAUCAAACAUAAAAUUACCUUUUUUGUCAGCAUAGAUGCAAUGUUUCCCUCACCACUGCCAUAGUUUUUGACCUGAUCUGAGAGAGGGUGCUGACAGAAAUGUACAACCAUGAAGGAAGAUAUACUCUUGAUGUCAGGGUUGAUAACACGCUAAUGUUACUUUAGUCAAGCGUGCAGCAGUAAAUCUAUUGGAUCUGAGCGAAAGAGAUGUCUGGUUGAAAAAAUAGAUCUGUAGAAUGGGGAUUCCCUUUGUCUGAUCUAACAUGUCUAAUUCUAGAUCCUCUUUCUCCUUUUCAGCUCAGACAGAUUUCAGCUCAGACAGAUGGCAGUAACUCCCCUACAGAAUGAGGACAAUGACAUCUCCAGGCUGUGUAAGGGCUAUUUGACCAAGGAGAGCAGAUGACCUGGCCUCCACAAUCACCUGACCUCAACCCAAUUGAGACGGUUUGGGAUGAAUUGGACCACAGAGUGAAGGAAAAGCAGCCAACAAGUGCUCAGCAUAUGUGGGAACUCCUUCAAGACUGUUGUAAAAGCAUUCCUCAUGAACCUGGUUGAGAGAAUGCCAAGAGUGUGCAAAGCUGUCAUCAAGGCAUUGUUUUGAUUUGUUAAACACUUUUUUGGUUACUACAUGAUUCCAUAUGUGUUAUUUCAUAGUUUUGAUGUCUUCACUAUUAUAUUCUACAAUGUAAAAAAUCGUUUUUUUAAAACCCUUGAAUGAGUAGGUAUGUCCAAACCUUUGACUGGUACUGUAUAUAUAUUUUUUAACAUUUUAUCCAGACUCAGCAACCUAGCCUUUUGCAGUCAUCCUACUGCACACUCAAAGAGAAGCAGGUAAUUUGCAAACAAAUAUCUUUUGCACUGACUAAUCCUCAAUGAUUUCAACCAAAAUUAGAGAUCACAUAGGAAACAGAGAUAAUGAGGAAUCAUUUCCAUUCUUUCAUUCACUUUUACUUGACCUCAUCACCAUAUGUGCGAACCAGAGAUACUUCGACAAAUAUAGCCUUGAAACUGGAAACUUGUAGUGUCUGCGGUUCUUGACAGAUGUUGGAGACAGUUGAAACUGAGACAAUGAAACAGGUCGGGCUUUUCGUCUGACAGCAGAAAUGUGUGUCUGGGUCUGUGUGUGUUCAACUGAUUUCAGCCGACCACUGCUGCCAUUGUCUGUUGGACUGGAGGCAUCUCAGUAAAAUAUAAAUAACUGUGUGGAGCUAAGAAUUGCCACUAGGUGUCAGGGUAGGUAUUCUUUGCUGCGAACACAGUUGAACUGAAAAUAUUCACAACUAUGAUUUUUGAAGCACUUCCACAGACCUUUGACGCAUAGUGGCCCUGACGCAUAGCCCCCCUCACCCUAACAUACCAACAAUGCCACACACACACACCUUAAUAUCGCCUUCAUCGUUGUGACCGAAAGGCCAAUUCACCCCUCCAGUGCCAGCAUCGUCAGUCUUGCAAAUGCUACUUAAAGGAAUGAAGUGGAAAUAACUGUCUAUUUCAUUGGGGAGAGAUGAAGAAUAAAAGCAAAAAUCCAGCACCCAUUUAAUGGAAUUAAAUAGGCUAGGUCAACAGCCUAAGAUAUGCAAUGACAACUUCCUAUUCAAAAUCUUGAUAGAGAGUAGACAUACUAAACUAAACAAAAACAUGACAUUUCUCAUGUCACUUUUCAAAUGUGAACAAAAAAUCUGCCUUAACUCUCACUUGUGUACUCUACAGUGCAGACGAUGAUGCUCGCUUGUAAAGACUCCCCACUUUGUACAAAAUAAAAUGGACAAAAAACAACGUUGUUAUGUUGCUAGUGUUGAUGUAUAGAUGAUCAGCUUUCUGUGACUUGUAUAAACCCAACCCUCACAUUUUGUUAAAGGACCCUUCUUCCUACACCACCAACAAACAUCCUCCUUCCCCUUCUAUGUUUUAUCUAGUGGUGAAUUAUCAACCUUUGUGUACAUUUUAUAGUAUUAUUUAAUUAAAGUGAAGAAAACUGCAAGAAAUGGAUAUAACUGUUGUCUUUUUAUUAUGAAGUUGUUACUAUAACUUGUUGCCAAGAUUGCUUUGAAAAUAAUAAUUUUGUGCUGUAACAGUAUUUGCUUUAUUCAGUGAAUUGCUUAUGGAGACUAAUAAAUAGAGGCACACACCAA